UGAGGAAUAUUGGGCAAUGGACGCAAGUCUGACCCAGCCAUGCCGCGUGCAGGAAUAAGGCCCUAUGGGUCGUAAACUGCUUUUGUAAGGGAAGAACCCCGGGCACGUGUGCCCGGCUGACGGUACCUUACGAAUAAGGACCGGCUAACUCCGUGCCAGCAGCCGCGGUAAUACGGAGGGUCCGAGCGUUAUCCGGAAUCAUUGGGUUUAAAGGGUCCGUAGGCGGUAUAACAAGUCAUUGGUGAAAUUCCGGAGCUCAACUCCGGCCGUGCCAAAGAAACUGUUAAACUAGAGUACGUGUGAAGUAGGCGGAAUGUGACAAGUAGCGGUGAAAUGCUUAGAUAUGUCACAGAACACCGAUAGCGAAAGCAGCUUACUAACACGCCACUGACGCUCAGGGACGAAAGCGUGGGGAGCAAACA
rnacentral:rRNA from 1 species